rnacentral:sRNA from 1 species
AGCCAGGGAAGGAGUCCGCAGCCAGC